GUGCUCACUUUGGCAGCACACAUAGUAAAAUUGAAAUGAUACAGAGAAGAUUGGCAUGGCCCUUAUGCAAGGAUGACAGCUAACUUCACGAAGCACUCCAUAAUUUU
ensembl:snRNA U6 U6 spliceosomal RNA